AGAUACGACCAUAGACUCAAGAGAAUUGGGCAUCCAGUCCGCUCUGCCAUACACAAUGCUUGAAAUCUGUAGAUUAGUAGUUGGGUGGGUGACCACCAGCGAAUACCUACUAUUGUAUGUU
rnacentral:rRNA from 1 species